rnacentral:rRNA from 1 species
GCUUGCUACCUGACCUAGCGGCGGACGGGUGAGUAAUGCUUAGGAAUCUGCCUAUUAGUGGGGGACAACAUUCCGAAAGGAAUGCUAAUACCGCAUACGCCCUACGGGGGAAAGCAGGGGAUCUUCGGACCUUGCGCUAAUAGAUGAGCCUAAGUCAGAUUAGCUAGUUGGUGGGGUAAAGGCCUACCAAGGCGACGAUCUGUAGCGGGUCUGAGAGGAUGAUCCGCCACACUGGGACUGAGACACGGCCCAGACUCCUACGGGAGGCAGCAGUGGGGAAUAUUGGACAAUGGGCGAAAGCCUGAUCCAGCCAUGCCGCGUGUGUGAAGAAGGCCUUUUGGUUGUAAAGCACUUUAAGCGAGGAGGAGGCUACUUGGAUUAAUACUCUAGGAUAGUGGACGUUACUCGCAGAAUAAGCACCGGCUAACUCUGUGCCAGCAGCCGCGGUAAUACAGAGGGUGCGAGCGUUAAUCGGAUUUACUGGGCGUAAAGCGUGCGUAGGCGGCUUCUUAAGUCGGAUGUGAAAUCCCUGAGCUUAACUUAGGAAUUGCAUUCGAUACUGGGAAGCUAGAGUAUGGGAGAGGAUGGUAGAAUUCCAGGUGUAGCGGUGAAAUGCGUAGAGAUCUGGAGGAAUACCGAUGGCGAAGGCAGCCAUCUGGCCUAAUACUGACGCUGAGGUACGAAAGCAUGGGGAGCAAACAGGAUUAGAUACCCUGGUAGUCCAUGCCGUAAACGAUGUCUACUAGCCGUUGGGGCCUUUGAGGCUUUAGUGGCGCAGCUAACGCGAUAAGUAGACCGCCUGGGGAGUACGGUCGCAAGACUAAAACUCAAAUGAAUUGACGGGGGCCCGCACAAGCGGUGGAGCAUGUGGUUUAAUUCGAUGCAACGCGAAGAACCUUACCUGGUCUUGACAUAGUAAGAACUUUCCAGAGAUGGAUUGGUGCCUUCGGGAACUUACAUACAGGUGCUGCAUGGCUGUCGUCAGCUCGUGUCGUGAGAUGUUGGGUUAAGUCCCGCAACGAGCGCAACCCUUUUCCUUAUUUGCCAGCGAGUAAUGUCGGGAACUUUAAGGAUACUGCCAGUGACAAACUGGAGGAAGGCGGGGACGACGUCAAGUCAUCAUGGCCCUUACGGCCAGGGCUACACACGUGCUACAAUGGUCGGUACAAAGGGUUGCUACCUAGCGAUAGGAUGCUAAUCUCAAAAAGCCGAUCGUAGUCCGGAUUGGAGUCUGCAACUCG